rnacentral:rRNA from 1 species
UACGUAGGGGGCGAGCGUUGUCCGGAAUCAUUGGGCGUAAAGCGCGUGUAGGCGGCCCGGUAAGUCCGCUGUGAAAGUCCAGGGCUCAACCCUGGGAUGCCGGUGGAUACUGUCGGGCUCGAGUCCGGAAGAGGCGAGUGGAAUUCCUGGUGUAGCGGUGAAAUGCGCAGAUAUCAGGAGGAACACCGAUUGCGAAGGCAGCUCGCUGGGACGUCACUGACGCUGAGACGCGAAAGCGUGGGGAGCAAACAGG